rnacentral:lncRNA from 1 species
GUCAGCUCUGGGCUGGGCCAAAUGUUUGGCUGAGCUUAGCCCGAUGGCCAAACAGGUCCUAUUUUUUUGGCUAGAGCCUGGCCUGAAUGGUUUGAGACCAAGUUCGAAGCCCGACCUGAUGGAUCUCGGACCGACCCGAUGGGCCUCCUGACAGCCUGACCUACUUCCAGCCCUAUCUGUGGGACUACCUCCACGAUGCUAUUUUUGGUGAAUUUGGAA